GUAAUGAAAGGAAUUAUAGGGACACUGACGGAAGAAGUGACUAAUGUAGCACAAUUAACAACUUCUGGACUGGAGGAAUUAAACAAGAAAUUGGAAG